UGAGUAGCUCAGUUGGCACAGCAUGAGAUUCUUAAUCUCAUGGUUGUGGGUUCGAGCCCUGCAAUGGAUAAAAG